GCUGGCGGCACGCCUAACACAUGCAAGUCGAACGAAGUAGCAAUACUUAGUGGCAGACGGGUGAGUAACAUGUGGGUAUCUGCCCUUUGGCCUGGAAUAACACGAGGAAACUUGUGCUAAUACCGGAUAAGUCUUUACGGAGAAAGCUUUAUGCACCAUUGGAUGAGCCCGCACUUGAUUAGUUUGUUGGUGGGGUAAUGGCCUACCAAGACUGUGAUCAAUAGCUGAUUUGAGAGGAUGAUCAGCCACAUUGGGACUGAGACACGGCCCAAACUCCUACGGGAGGCAGCAGUGGGGAAUCUUGCACAAUGGAGGAAACUCUGAUGCAGCGAUGCCGCGUGAGUGAAGAA
rnacentral:rRNA from 1 species